rnacentral:misc_RNA from 1 species
GAUGAAGAACGUAGCGAAAUGCGAUAAGUAAUGUGAAUUGCAGAAUUCAGUGAAUCAUCGAAUCUUUGAACGCACAUUGCGCCCCCCAGUAUUCUGGCGGGCAUGCCUGUUCGAGCGUCAUUUCAACCAUCAAGCCCUGCUUGUGUUGGGGUCCUGCGGCUGCCCGCAGGCCCUGAAAACCAGUGGCGGGCUCGCUAGUCACACCGAGCGCAGUAGCACAUCUCGCUCAGGGCGUGCGGCGGGCUCCAGCCGUUAAAGCACCCACCUUUCGCAAGGUUGACCUCGGAUCAGGUAGGAAUACGCGCUGAACUUAAGCAUAUCAAUAAGCGGAGGA